CAGCACUGAAGGAAUGUAUAGCACAGCUACUUGUAUCAUUAUGAUGCAGCUCGACUAUGUUGAAUAAAAUUCUAGGUAGAAUUAUGAUAAUGACAUCGUCUGCCUAUGUGUCUUGACCAAAUUACGUGCCAGCAGUCGCGGUAAUACGUAGAAGACUAGUGUUAUUCAUGUUUAAUCGGUUUAAAGGGUACCUAGACGGUGAAUCAAGCUUUAGAAUAAAGAAGAAAAGGAACUAAUUCGCUAGAGUUACUUACGAGGGGGUAGUAAAGUACUGCUGGUGUAGAGAUGAAAUUCUGUCAUACCUCUUUUCGAAAGAAAAAUUAUGGCACAGGUAUAGGCGAAGGCAUCCCCUUAUGUGAUAACUGACGUUGAGGGACGAAGGCUUCGUGGAACAAACAGGAUUAGAUACCCUAGUAGUUGAAGCAGAAAAUGAUGAAUGUCAUAGAUUAGACGUCUAAGUUUAUUCUAUAAAUGAAAGUGUAAGCAUUCCACCUCCUGAGUAAUUUGGCAACAUUGGAAUUGAAAUCAUUAGACCGUUUCUGAAACCAGUAGUGAAGUAUGUUGUUUAAUUUGAUAAUACGCAAAAAACCUUACCACAAUUUGAAUAUUUAUAUUGUUUAUUGUUAUCUUAUUAAUUUUCUUAAAAAAACUAAUUAUAGCAAAAGCAUUUUAAAACAGGAAAAGAAAAUUAAUCAAGAGGCAAUAACAUAUAUCUACCAGCGUUGCACGGCUGUCUUCAGUUA
rnacentral:rRNA from 1 species